rnacentral:rRNA from 1 species
AACGAACGCUGGCGGCGUGGAUAAGACAUGCAAGUCGAGCGCUAAUUUGAGAGUAGCAAUAUUUUCAAGUUGGAGCGGCGCAAGGGUGCGUAACACGUGGGAAUCUGCCUUGAAGUGUGGGAUAACUCGUCGAAAGACGAGCUAAUACCGCAUGUGAUUGCAAAAUCAAAGUUGGGGAUCGUAAGACCUGACGCUUCAAGAUGAGCCCGCGGCCUAUCAGCUAGUUGGUGAGGUAAUGGCUCACCAAGGCUAAGACGGGUAGCUGGUCUGAGAGGAUGGCCAGCCACAUUGGGACUGAGAUACGGCCCAGACUCCUACGGGAGGCAGCAGUGGGGAAUAUUGCGCAAUGGCCGAAAGGCUGACGCAGCGACGCCGCGUGGGGAUGAAGCAUUCGGUGUGUAAACCCCUGUUGCUCGGGACGAACAAGCCUUUUCGAGGGCUCUGACGGUACCGAGUGAGGAAGCACCGGCUAACUCCGUGCCAGCAGCC